UUGUGGGGGAUUUCGACAAAUCUAUAAGAGUACCACUGAGCUCAGAGCUGGGGUUGACAAAAUCUUCGAUUUCAAAUGCAUCUAUAGACCUUACACAGGCAAAGCCGUGGUGAGCAAUUUCCUGAGGCUGUUCUACAUGAUCCUUAGGUGAAGAUAUAAGGAUAUCAGAUGAAAUACUCUCUCCUGCUGGCUGUUGGGCAGUGGCAAUUGAAG
rnacentral:misc_RNA from 1 species